rnacentral:rRNA from 1 species
UACGGAGGGGGCUAGCGUUGUUCGGAAUUACUGGGCGUAAAGCGCGCGUAGGCGGACCUUCAAGUCGGGGGUGAAAUCCCGGGGCUCAACCCCGGAACGGCCUUCGAGACUGGUGGUCUUGAGUUCGAGAGAGGUGAGUGGAAUUCCGAGUGUAGAGGUGAAAUGCGUAGAUAUGUGGAGGAACACCAGUGGCGAAGGCGGCCCCCUGGGCUGACACUGACGCUCAGGCACGAAAGCGUGGGGAGCAAACAGG